UUGCCCUCCACUCACCGCCAGAUCGUUGUUUUUACAACCUGAAACAUCCCACUCACCCCAACUCUCCAUCUGCCUGCCUACGCGCUCUGCUUGCUACCUGCCUCGGUGUUUAAAAUGACCAAACCCAAAAGCAGGCCUUGCCCUCACUGCCAGGUCAUGAAUACUGCCAACCGCAAAACAUGCCUUUCAUGUUUUGCAAGCCUCUCACAAAAAAAGAGGAUUAAGUCCAAGGAGGAGAGUUUGCAUGUUGGUGACUGGGGGGAGAAUGUGAAGAAGCACCGCAACGCAGGCAGAGUGAUAGAUUCAGCCCGCAUAUCUGUCAAUAAGCUGCAUGAACUGGACUUAAAGCCCCUGCUCUUCAUGGGGAAAGAGAAGAGAAGGGGGGGGUUUACAGCAGAGGUCAUUGCAGGCAUAGGCUUCAUACCAGAGGGGCCUGUGAGGGAGAUCAUUAAAAAAAUGACCACCCUUUAUGAAUA